AGAAAGUCACAUUUGUUUACUUGAAAUAAUUCCUGUUUCCCUGCCUAACAUAGGUGAGGACUUAGCUAAUGCAUUCCACCUGCCAGAGUCACCAGGGGAACUCCAGAGACAAGCUUCAAGCUGCUCUAAAACCGCUUCUAGUAAGACAUCUAUUGAACUGAUAAACAGCAAAGGUAGAGGGAGCAGAAUCCCAUGGAAGAAUUGUGAGGAAAGAAGAAUUUGAGAAAGUUUUGUUGAACAUAGACGAAUUCCCUUAAACCUGUGGAGGGCAGCAGCAAAGUCCUUCUGUGCCAGGUGAAAGAGUUCAUUGUAAUCUAGCAAGCCUUCAACAGGUGGAGAAGUGGGAAAACUCCUGCAGUUGAUGCCUCCUGCACCUGAGCAUCUGACUUGUUGAUUUAAUUUAUCAAGCUGUGAUUAUGUACUAAUAAUUUGCUCCCUAGGAUGUUAUCAAAGCUGU
rnacentral:lncRNA from 1 species